rnacentral:misc_RNA from 1 species
GAUGAAGAACGUAGCAAAAUGCGAUAAGUAAUGUGAAUUGCAGAAUUCAGUGAAUCAUCGAAUCUUUGAACGCACAUUGCGCCCGCCAGUAUUCUGGCGGGCAUGCCUGUUCGAGCGUCAUUUCAACCAUCAAGCACAGCUUGGUGUUGGGACUCGCGUUAAUUCGCGUUCCCCAAAUUGAUUGGCGGUCACGUCGAGCUUCCAUAGCGUAGUAGUAAAACCCUCGUUACUGGUAAUCGUCGCGGCCACGCCGUUAAACCCCAACUUCUGAAUGUUGACCUCGGAUCAGGUAGGAAUACCCGCUGAACUUAAGCAUAUCAUAAGCGGAGGA